UAGCUCUUUAACAAUUUGGAAAGCUGACAAAAAUUGAAGAAAUUCAAUUUUUAUUAAAAGUUCUCAAGUUUACUUUUCAUGAAUUUUCAUGAGUUGUAAACACCAAAAUACACAAUCAAGUGUUCUUGGCUUUUGAUGUUUUGAUUAAGCAUUAAAAGAAAUUGAGUCCGGCAAAAUCGAGUCUCUCGCUCAUGAAAAAUUUAAUGAGAGACAACUUUGGUUGUUUGAUUAAACAAUCCUAAGUAUGACAUUUGCGCAGAAAUUUUUUGCUUAGGCAAGGCAGCGAUUAAAUUUGUCGCAGGGAGUUAUCGUCUGAUAACGACCAAGCAAAUUUAUAAGCUAACGCAGCAUAAGUGAAAAGUAGCAAGCAAAAAGACUUUUUGGGGUUGUAU
rnacentral:misc_RNA from 1 species